GGGCCCAUAGCUCAGCGGUUAGAGCGACCGGCUCAUAACCGGUUGGUCCCUGGUUCGAAUCCAGGUGGGCCCACCA
rnacentral:tRNA from 1 species